ACUCAAAUGAAUAGACGGGGGCCCGCACAAGCGGUGGAGCAUGUGGUUCAAUUCGACGCAACGCGAAGAACCUUACCUGGGCUCGAAAUGUAGUGGAAUGAGGUGGAAACAUCUCCGUCUCGCAAGAGACUGCUAUAUAGGUGCUGCAUGGCUGUCGUCAGCUCGUGUCGUGAGAUGUUGGGUUAAGUCCCGCAACGAGCGCAACCCUUAUUGCCAGUUGCCAUCAUUUAGUUGGGCACUCUGGCGAAACUGCCCCGGAUAACGGGGAGGAAGGUGGGGAUGACGUCAAGUCCUCAUGGCCUUUAUGUCCAGGGCUACACACGUGCUACAAUGGGUGGUACAAACCGUCGCAAACCCGCGAGGGGGAGCUAAUCGGAAAAAGCCAUCCUCAGUUCGGAUUGGAGUCUGCAACUCGACUCCAUGAAGCUGGAAUCGCUAGUAAUCGCGGAUCAGAACGCCGCGGUGAAUACGUUCCCGGGCCUUGCACACACCGCCCGU
rnacentral:rRNA from 1 species